rnacentral:rRNA from 1 species
AACGAACGCUGGCGGCAGGCUUAACACAUGCAAGUCGAACGCCCCGCAAGGGGAGUGGCAGACGGGUGAGUAACGCGUGGGAAUCUACCCAUCCCUACGGAAUAACGCAUGGAAACGUGUGCUAAUACCGUAUACGCCCUACGGGGGAAAGAUUUAUCGGGGAUGGAUGAGCCCGCGUUGGAUUAUCUAGGUGGUGGGGUAAAGGCCUACCAAGGCGACGAUCCAUAGCUGGUCUGAGAGGAUGAUCAGCCACAUUGGGACUGAGACACGGCCCCAACCCCUACGGGAGGCAGCAGUGGGGAAUAUUGGACAAUGGGCGCAAGCCUGAUCCAGCCAUGCCGCGGGAGUGAUGAAGGCCUUAGGGUUGUAAAGCUCUCUCACCGGAGAAGAUAAUGACGGUAUCCGGAGAAGAAGCCCCGGCUAACUUCGUG